rnacentral:rRNA from 1 species
CCCUUAGAUGUUCUGGGCCGCACGCGCGCUACACUGACGAAGUCAGCGAGCAUGUCCUACGCCGACAGGUGCGGGGAAUCUUGUCAAACUUCGUCGUGAUGGGGAUUGAUUAUUGAAAUUCUUGAUCAUCAACGAGGAAUUCCUAGUAAGAGCAAGUCAGCAGCUUGCGUUGAUUACGUCCCUGCCCUUUGUACACACCGCCCGUCGCUACUACCGAUUGAAUGGUUUAGUGAGAUCUUCGGAUUGGCGCCACUGCGGCUCAGCAAUGGGCUCGGUGGAUGCCGAAAAGUUGAUCAAACUUGAUCAUUUAGAGGAAGUAAAAGUCGUAACA